rnacentral:rRNA from 1 species
UACGGAGGAUCCGAGCGUUAUCCGGAUUUAUUGGGUUUAAAGGGAGCGUAGGCGGGUUGUUAAGUCAGUUGUGAAAGUUUGCGGCUCAACCGUAAAAUUGCAGUUGAUACUGGCGACCUUGAGUGCAACAGAGGUAGGCGGAAUUCGUGGUGUAGCGGUGAAAUGCUUAGAUAUCACGAAGAACUCCGAUUGCGAAGGCAGCUUACUGGAUUGUAACUGACGCUGAUGCUCGAAAGUGUGGGUAUCAAACAGGAUUAGAUACCCGUGUGCUGACUGACU